rnacentral:lncRNA from 1 species
GGCGUCAGUUGGGGACAAUCUUUUUCUUUGCAACUAUCACAAGAGUGCCAAUUAUAAAGGAGUGUGCGUUGGAUUGAUCCACGACCAAGCCUGCAAGCGUGUAUGCUUAGAAGAAAGCAGCGACAAUAUUGCCGGCGAGUGUAACUUUUUGAUGUGCUGGUGCCAUACCAGAUGCACCUCUGAGACUGUUGCUGCUGCUAGCGCUCCGAUCCCCGCCUGAACAAACCAUCCGAUCCAUGCAUCAUCCCGGCCGGCCCUCGUGUAAUAAUAGUAUAUAACACUGUAUGCUUGCAAGUUGUUUGUUUUCUUUUUUUCAGUAAUCUUAUCGGUGGAAAAUUAGAGAGAGUCAAAUCUCUCGAAUAUCCAACUGG